ensembl:lncRNA
CAGGGAUUCUACCUUGUUCCGUCACAGUGGGGAGCCAGCGGAGGGGUCGUAAACCAGGGCGGGGCUGGAUUUGAUUUGCAUUUUAAAACGAUUGUUCUGAGCUCCACCGAGAGCAGGGUUUGCAGCCCGUGGGGACAGAAGGAGUCUGCAGGCACGGCCUCAGUGAGAGACAGGGCUUCUGCCAGGCUGGGCCGUGGGGCCCUGGGGAAGAGCGGCGAUGCAGAUCUGAAAAUGCAGAGUGAACAGAAACUGCAUGGGAUUGUUUCACAUUCCUUCCAGGGACUGGAGAAGAACUGGCCCAGAGCGGAUUUAAGAAGAUGGUCGGGACAGAAGAAAGCUGCUUGAGGAGUCCAUCCCAAGAACUGUUCUCGUUCAACACACCCACGAUAGAUCAGCCUCCAAAAUCAGUACAUCACAGGAGAGAUAAGCCACAUAUCCUUAAGGAGAUGGAAUGACUCCAGGCCCCUUACAAAUGACUGUGUCUGGCUGAGCGGGCCAGUCAGAACUGGACCUGCUCGCCAUGGAAACAAAGACAAAGCAGAGUGGGGGGCAGGCUGAGGGUGGUGACACCUAUGCAAGUUCCACCCAGGGGGUGGUACUCUCCGUCCAACAGCCUGAAGUGUUUCCAUUUCCAUGGCACACUGUCCCUCUGGUGGUGAGAGGGCAUUCACCUCGCGGUAGAGAGAUGCUCCUUAGGAUUGAUUCAUUGCCAAUGUCGUGAUAACAUCCUCACCUUUGGUUCCUGUGAGCUUGGUUCAGAUGAGUCUGCCCCUGAGGGAGGAGUCCGUUCUGUGUCCGCCAAACAUCAACCAAUCAUCAAGCAAUGGAUGGAUAAGAUUUCUAGUGGGAAGACUGAUACCCAACUCCUAGCAAAUUAUCAAGUUGGCUUGAUGUUUGACUAUUAUGACCAAUACUGGGAUGAAGAUUCGCUAAAAGUCUUUGUGUAGCUGCUGGGUUUAUUUCUCCUGCACAGCUACUUCAGAAUUGCUGGGUUGUAUGUGAAAAAUAUUUAGUUAUGAAAAUCUGGAUGAUCGUAACCUCAGAGGAGUUCAGAAAGCAUUAGUUAUCCCCUAGGUGGAUGCCCACCUGCAGAGCUUCAAGACUAGAAGGAGGAUGCCAGAGCCAGCAUUUCUCCAAGCGGGCAGACCCUGCCGGGGCGGAGCAGAGGGAGCAUUCAACAGACAGCGGCCGCAAACCUGGCGGUUUCCACCUCCAGUCCCGGGGAGCUGUUAGAACCCAAACUAUCAAAAUGGCAACAUUUAAUUGAACAGCUGUUUGCAAAUCACAUGCUUAUUAGCUGCACGCUGAAAAAAAUAAAAAGGCCUACUUGUAUUUCAGUCUACUGACCAUCAAGAGCCCCCGUUAUGGUUAGAAUUCUCUUGAUUGUAAGCAAGAGCACGGUCACCUGCUAACACAGGAGAAAGACCCACACGCUGGCAUGGGGAGGGUGAGGCCCCAGGCAGCUUUGGGCACUAGCUACAUUCUCUCCUCUCUUCUGGGCGACUUUCUUCUUCCCUCUCUCUGCUCAGCUGGUCCAAAAUGGCUUCCUCUGGACAUCCUACCUUCUCUCCCUCACCCCGUCACGUUUACAUGGGCUGCGUCUUCACCCUGGACUGUUUUCUCUCCCCUUCUUAGCCUGGCUGCAUCCUGCCUGUGGCUUCAGUCUUCUCAGGUGCAGCCUUUUCUAGGUAGCUGCCCUCGAUCCCCAAGGCUGGGGUCCCCGAGCCCACCUGUAAGCUCCCGUGUUCGCUGGUGCUAACUAUGCCAUCUUAGGUCUUUCCACUCUGCAGUGUAAUUGCCG